rnacentral:rRNA from 1 species
AGAACUUAGCAGAGAUGCUUUGGUGCCUUCGGGAACUCUGAGACAGGUGCUGCAUGGCUGUCGUCAGCUCGUGUUGUGAAAUGUUGGGUUAAGUCCCGCAACGAGCGCAACCCUUAUCCUUUGUUGCCAGCGGUUAGGCCGGGAACUCAAAGGAGACUGCCAGUGAUAAACUGGAGGAAGGUGGGGAUGACGUCAAGUCAUCAUGGCCCUUACGAGUAGGGCUACACACGUGCUACAAUGGCGCAUACAAAGAGAAGCGACCUCGCGAGAGCAAGCGGACCUCAUAAAGUGCGUCGUAGUCCGGAUUGGAGCCUGCAACUCGACUCCAUGAAGUCGGAAUCGCUAGUAAUCGUGGAUCAGAAUGCCACGGUGAAUACGUUCCCGGGCCUUGUACACACCGCCCGUCACACCAUGGGAGUGGGUUGCAAAAGAAGUAGGUAGCUUAACCUUCGGGAGGGCGCUUACCACUUUGUGAUUCAUGACUGGGGUGAAGUCGUAACAAGGUAAGCGUAGUGCU